rnacentral:rRNA from 1 species
CCUACGGGUGGCACCAGUGGGGAAUAUUGCACAAUGGGCGCAAGCCUGAUGCAGCCAUGCCGCAUGUAUGAAGAAGGCCUUCGGGGUGUAAAGUACUUUCAGCGGGGAGGAAGGUGUUGUGGUUAAUAACCACAGCGAUUGACGUUACCCGCAGAAGAAGCACCGGCUAACUCCGUGCCAGCAGCCGCGGCAAUACGGAGGGUGCAAGCGUUAAUCGGAAUUACUGGGCGUAAAGCGCACGCAGGCGGUCUGUCAAGUCGGAUGUGAAAUCCCCGGGCUCAACCUGGGAACUGCAUUCGAAACUGGCAGGCUAGAGUCUUGUAGAGGGGGGUAGAAUUCAGGUGUAGCGGUGAAAUGCGUAGAGAUCUGGAGGAAUACCGGUGGCGAAGGCGGCCCCCUGGACAAAGACUGACGCUCAGGUGCGAAAGCGCGGGGAGCAGACAGGAUUAGAUACCCUCGUAGUC